GAAUAUUGCACAAUGGGGGAAACCCUGAUGCAGCGACGCCGCGUGAGCGAAGAAGGCCUUCGGGUCGUAAAACUCUGUCAUUGGGGAAGAAAAAAAUGACGGUACCCAAUGAGGAAGCCCCGGCUAACUACGUGCCAGCAGCCGCGGUAAUACGUAGGGGGCGAGCGUUGUCCGGAAUUACUGGGCGUAAAGGGUGCGUAGGCGGCCAAUUAAGUCAGAUGUGAAAUACCAGGGCUCAACCCUGGGGGUGCAUAUGAAACUGGUUGGCUUGAGUGCAGGAGAGGAAAGUGGAAUUCCUAGUGUAGCGGUGAAAUGCGUAGAGAUUAGGAGGAACACCAGUGGCGAAGGCGACUUUCUGGACUGUAACUGACGCUGAGGCACGAAAGCGUGGGUAGCGAAC
rnacentral:rRNA from 1 species